CCAAAAUCCACAAGAUAUUUAUUGAAGAGAAAACUUCAAUCUUCAAAAAUAGCUUCAUCUUAUGAUAUAAAUUUUUAAAAGAAUAUAUAUCCAAUUCAAUUCAAUUCAAUUGAAUCCAAUGUUGCAAUCACAGUGCCAGCACCUUCUCUUCUCAAAUCCAAUCCCAUUACUAACUCACCACCGUAAUCACUCUCUCCCUUAUCUCCGCAAACCCACUUCCUUUUCAAUUUCCGUUAUUCCUCCUUCAACUUCAUCACUGACAUGGUUCACCCACCUCGCCGAACUCACCACCACAACAAUACCAGAAACAGACGGACCCAUCGAACUCCCAUUUUCUUCAACUCCUUCUCUUCUCUCUUUCACCGACGACCCUUCUCCUAUUCAAGUCGCUUCCAGUGUUCUCCUCACCGGUGCCAUCUCCGUUCUCCUCUUUCGCUCCCUCCGCCGCAGAGCUAAACGUCUCAAACAAACGCAAUUCAGGUCUUCGGGAGAGAAGUCAGUUAAGGAAGAAGCACUGGACACCUUGAAAGCUAUGAGGUCUGCUUCAAUAGAUGCUAAGGGUUCACCUUCACCUGUUCAGGCGUUUCUUGGAGCAAUAUCAGCAGGCGUUAUUUCUCUUAUUUUGUAUAGGUUCGCCUCUACCAUCGAGGCAGCUCUGAACCGGCAAUCUAUUUCAGAUGAUUUCUCUGCCCGCCAGAUAACAAUCACUGUAAGGACAAUCAUAAACGGCUUAACCUACCUUGCAACAUUUAUUUUUGGCCUAAAUUCCCUUGGCCUAUUCCUUUAUUCUGGCCAGCUUGCCAUCAAAUCCUUUACUGGAGAAUCAACUGAAAAGGAAACUGAAAACAAAAGCGCCGAUCAGUCUAGUUUAUCAAAUUUAUCGGUAGAGACUCGCACAAACGACACCGAAUUGAGCAGCACGAAUGAAGAACAAAGUUCCAAUGAUUCUCAGUAAUUACUACUGGAAGUGUAUUGAAGUUGAAGUUGAGGAAUAGUGUAGGUGGCAAGGGUUCUUUAAUGCAGUCACUAGUGUUACUAUUGAAUCUUAUACAUUAUGAAAGUAUAGUAACUCACUCGAACGGAUCAUGCUGUGUCUCUCUCUAAGGCAUGUCAUUGUAUUGUCAUAAUCAAACCAAGAACCCCAACAGUGUGCACUUUUGUCUUCAACUUGGAAAUGCAGUAAAGAAAGAGGCUAAUUUUCACUACCAUGUUUCUAAUAAUUCCACACAUAUUUAAGAAAGUGUAAUUUUGGACACAUAGUUUGUCUUGAGUAUACUUUUAGACAGACACAAAAUUUGUGUAUUUUUCAAAUGUGUAUAUCUGAAGUCAUGUUAGGCAUAGGAAUGCUUAUCACCAAGUAAAAUGACCCCUUAGACCAGCUUGUAACCAACUUAACAUGCGUUUGGUCAGAUUUUCUUGCGUCCCGAUGCUUUUCUCACCGUGAAUACCAUAAGCAACAAAACAUAGUUUCCA